GACGAACGCUGGCGGCGUGCUUAACACAUGCAAGUCGAAUGCUGAAGCUCAGCUUUUGUUGGGUGGAUGAGUGGCGAACGGGUGAGUAACACGUGAGUAACCUGCCCCCUUCUUUGGGAUAACGCCCGGAAACGGGUGCUAAUACUGGAUAUUCACUGGUCUUCGCAUGGGGGUUGGUGGAAAGGGUUUUUCUGGUGGGGGAUGGGCUCGCGGCCUAUCAGCUUGUUGGUGGGGUGAUGGCCUACCAAGGCUUUGACGGGUAGCCGGCCUGAGAGGGUGACCGGUCACAUUGGGACUGAGAUACGGCCCAGACUCCUACGGGAGGCAGCAGUGGGGAAUAUUGCACAAUGGGCGCAAGCCUGAUGCAGCGACGCCGCGUGAGGGAUGGAGGCCUUCGGGUUGUGAACCUCUUUCGCUCAUGGUCAAGCCGCAACAAUGGUUGUGGUGAGGGUAGUGGGUAAAGAAGCGCCGGCUAACUACGUG
rnacentral:rRNA from 1 species